rnacentral:RNase_P_RNA from 1 species
CGAGCCGUCCGACCCGUCGCUGCGCUCGAUCUAUACGGGCGUAGAGAAAAGUCCGGACUCGCGAGGGCAGGGGCCUAAGGGCUCCGGUCCAGAAAGACCGCUCGGGCCAAGAACCCGAGGGGCGGGGUGGCGCAAGCCCCCCGUCACGUCAAGUGCAACAGAGAGCAGACCAGCCGAUGGCUGGAAAGCCGGGCCAGAGGUCCGGUCUCCAGCACAGGUGAUGGGUGAAAGGGUGGGGUAAGAGCCCACCGGCGGUACCCCGCGAGGGGCCGGCCAGGUAAACCACCGGUGCGAGCAAGCCAAAUUGUCCCGGCGCCGCGAGGCGUUCGGGCUGGUAGGCGCAGCUCCUCCCAGAGGAGCCCGGGAGAUCCUCCCGGAGAUGGAUGGCGGGAUAGAGCAGAAUCCGGCUUACGGGACGGCCCGAACC